AUUGAACGCUGGCGGCAGGCCUAACACAUGCAAGUCGAGCGGAUGAAGGGAGCUUGCUCCUGGAUUCAGCGGCGGACGGGUGAGUAAUGCCUAGGAAUCUGCCUGGUAGUGGGGGAUAACGUCCGGAAACGGGCGCUAAUACCGCAUACGUCCUGAGGGAGAAAGUGGGGGAUCUUCGGACCUCACGCUAUCAGAUGAGCCUAGGUCGGAUUAGCUAGUUGGUGGGGUAAAGGCCUACCAAGGCGACGAUCCGUAACUGGUCUGGGAGGAUGAUCAGUCACACUGGAACUGAGACACGGUCCAGACUCCUACGGGAGGCAGCAGUGGGGAAUAUUGGACAAUGGGCGAAAGCCUGAUCCAGCCAUGCCGCGUGUGUGAAGAAGGUCCUCGGAUUGUAAAGCACUUUAAGUUGGGAGGAAGGGCAGUAAGUUAAUACCUUGCUGUUUUGACGUUACCAACAGAAUAAGCACCGGCUAACUUCGUG
rnacentral:rRNA from 1 species